CUGGCAGUUACUGUUUUUGGGCCAUUAGAUCUUCCGUGACUAUUACUGUCCAACCCCUUCUUUCUUAAGUUCUUUACUACCCAAAUGAUGAUUAUUUACUAAGAAAUGAAAGGAGAGACACGAUUUACAAAAGAUCAAUCAAUAUUAUAAAUCAGUUCAUGUUUGAUAUUUCUUCACUACCUAAUAACCUCCAUUCAUUAUCUUCAAGAAAUGUCGUCUCUAAUGCUGGCUAGAAACAACCUAAACUCUCUUGCCUUCCUCGCAUGCUCAGGUGACAUUUCAGUUUCUGAUUCACUCAAGUCUAUCACAUCAUUACGUUGAUCACUGACAGGUUGGCAUCGCGAAACCUUACUUGUACUUGCUAGUGGAGAAGGACUCAAAAGAUCAAUGAUCUCAUGUUUUUUUGGAAGACUUGAAUCAAUGUGACAAGACACGGCAGCAUUACAGUUAGUAUCUCCUUGUGACUCUGCAAUAAGAGGGUCUUGCUUUUUAAAAUGAACUGCAACUGCAGUUGCAGUUUUGCUAUCCUCUGAUAUAACUGCUGUUGACGGAAAGGAGACAUUAAAACUGUUAUUACUUCCUGAUUCAAUGUCAAGCAACAAAGUUUGGAGCCUUAAGUCAAUUUCAGCCACAGUUGAACUUGAUUUGUUUUCUGAUUUCUUUAUUCUUGGUUUCCUGUGAUUUUGUUUCUUCGCUAGAGCUCUUUUCUCCUCAAACUCGGCAAUCUUUUCAGGACAAGCACUAGAUAUGGACAAGACAAGAAAACUUUAACUUUUAAAAAUCCCAAUUUCUAAUAAUAUUAGAUUUGACAAAUUUGAGAACACUGGUAAAAAUGUCAGAAAAAUAAGAGUAUUCUACAAUUCGACCAAGUGAUGAAAAAAAGGAUAAAGGUUUGUUUUCCACUGGAAUUUAACUAAAUAUUUAAUAUAGCCUUGUGCACAUCUUUCCCUUGAUGCAUGAUUUAAAAAAUCUGCCCAAUUUAAAUGUUAUAAGUUGAAACUAUGAAUUGUUAACCACCCAAACCUCUAAAAAAACAUGCACCCCAUGUGUCAACUGACAUUUGCAAUUAAUUCUUCAAAAAAGAAAAGAAAUUUGCAAUUAAUAAUUACAUAGAUGGAAAGUUGAAAACAAUUAUAAGAUUACCUCUCUAUGAGAUCAGCAGGAACUGUGGAGGUUUCAAGUCCAUCUAACCCUUCCCACAAAACCUCAAAGCAUUCUCUUCCCUGAACUUUUCUCUGUUUAACAAUGGUGGAUACAGGGCACUUAACUGGUAUCUGCAAAUCACAAGGUCUUGCCAUAUAUAAUGUCAUCAUAUAAGAGAUAGCAGACCCCAUUUACAGAUCAACAACACCAACAUGAUAAGGCAGAACCCAUGAGCACUCCAGAGAUUAUUAUGGAACGGGAGACCAAAUUGUAUGAUUAACAUAGUGAUAUGUUUCUAAUAAUUAUGUUCAAUUUUGACAAUUAGGGUAUGAAAUCAAUGCAUUCAACAAUUGCAGGCAUUUUACAAAAUGGAUGUACUCAAGGUUUUGAUCAUCAAUACUAACAAUUCAUACAAAAGGAUGGGCUUUGGGUUUUGAAGCUGCAACCUCAUCAACUUGGCAAUGUAAAAAUUUUCUGGACACUGACCAUUGGGAGAUUUGACUAACAUGAGUGGUUAAAGAGGAUUUUUUACAGUCUAGCAGCUGAAAGGGAAAAUACAUUUAAGAAGAUCAAUUAUUGCCAAUUGUAAAUUUGUAGAACAAUAGUACCUUGCACAAAGGAUUAUGUACUCCUAGUUCCGAAGAAGUUGAACGCAAAUUGGCAAAUCUCCGCAAAUCUCUUUCAGCAAUUUUUGGAAGGACAUACUCAUCUAAGCCAAGGAAAGGGGACAAAAAGGGGAAAAAAAUCUAACAUAAAUCAAAAUGAUCCAAAAACCUCUCCUCUCACUCUCUCAAAUGGCCAACCGUAGGGAAGAAGGGGCCUAAAGUGCAAAUAUAUAAAUAAAAGUGGGACUGUGGGAAUCAGAGUCAACUAGACGAACACUACAUACAUAAUUAAAAAAAAAUACCCACAAACAUUUUGACUUUUGGAACUAAUAAAACCACGACCAACCUUCAAAAACUUGGGCAUGUAGGGGAAGCCUUCAAUGUUAACCAUUUUCAGAAAUUUGUAUCAACUUUUUUUUGUUUUUUGUUUGAGUGAUAAAAAUCUGUAUCAACUUGAUUAAAGCAGUAUUUUAAACUUGCCUCCAUGAGACAAAGGCAGCCAUAAACAUUUUUAUGUCAAGAAAAUAAACUACCAUUUGCACAAAACACAAAAUGCAAAUCAAUAAGGGGAAAAAAGCUAUGAUUUUGUUAAUCAUGGGAUUACAAGAACUUCACCUAAACAUCCAUACUAUGCCAACAUGAGAAUCUUGCAUCCACAUGCCUGUGUAUACUAGGAGUGGAUAUUGCACAGACGAGCACAUAUAUGGAUGUGUGGCUCUGUGUGAUGUCAAUUAAGGAGCAAAGGACAGACCUGUUUUCUCAGGUGGCCACCCAAAGAACUCAAUACAUAUUUCUUGAAGUUUGGAUCGUUGGAAUGGCAGCUGAGCAAGAACC
rnacentral:misc_RNA from 1 species